rnacentral:tRNA from 1 species
GGCUCUAUCGUCUAGCCCGGUCUAGGACGUCGCCCUCUCACGGCGAAAACACGGGUUCAAAUCCCGUUAGAGCUACCA